rnacentral:rRNA from 1 species
AACGAACGCUGGCGGCAGGCUUAACACAUGCAAGUCGAGCGCCCCGCAAGGGGAGCGGCAGACGGGUGAGUAACGCGUGGGAAUCUACCCAUCUCUACGGAAUAACUCAGGGAAACUUGUGCUAAUACCGUAUACGCCCUUCGGGGGAAAGAUUUAUCGGAGAUGGAUGAGCCCGCGUUGGAUUAGCUAGUUGGUGGGGUAAUGGCCUACCAAGGCGACGAUCCAUAGCUGGUCUGAGAGGAUGAUCAGCCACACUGGGACUGAGACACGGCCUAGACUCAUACGGAAGGCGGCAGUGGGGAAUAUUGGACAAUGGGCGAGAGCCUGAUCCAGCCAUGCCGCGUGAGUGAUGAAGGCCCUAGGGUUGUAAAGCUCUUUCACCGGUGAAGAUAAUGACGGUAACCGGAGAAGAAGCCCCGGCUAACUUCGUGCCAGCCGCCGCGGUAAAAC